rfam:Candidatus Firestonebacteria bacterium RIFOXYC2_FTLL_39_67 rifoxyc2_full_scaffold_451, whole genome shotgun sequence.
AAGAGCCGUAUGAGGGAAAACUUCAAGUACGGUUCUGUGAGGGGAUGGAGGAAGUAGGAUAUGGCAAAUCUAAACGGGCACGAAGUUGGAAACGACGGAUACAGCCAAGAAGAGCCUGUAAUCACUACGAUGCCGUUCUACUCGAC